UUAAGUUCAGCGGGUAUCCCUACCUGAUCCGAGGUCAACCAUAGAAAGUUGGGGGUUUUGGCGCGUACCAUCCGGUUUCCAUAGCGAGAGAAGUUACUACGCUUAGAGCCGAAGGGCACUGCCACUGAUUUUAAGAGCUGCUAGGUAGCAUGCUCCAACACCAAGCUAGGCUUGAGGGUUAUAAUGACGCUCGAACAGGC
rnacentral:misc_RNA from 1 species